UGUGUCUCAUUUGGAACCAUAUUUAACUUUCUUAUGUCAUUUGCUCUUUUGUGUUCCCUUUCCUUUCCUUUCAUAUCGAUUAAUUAAAAUGUAUUUAUAUAGCACUUUUCAAAGAUUAAAAAUCACAAAGCGCUCCUCCCGGCCUCUGGGCCUGCGGCUCGGUUCACUCUGGCACAGCUGGCUGCCGGCAGAGCCGGCGGGCAUGCCGGUGCAGCCCCCUCUAGCUUCUGCUCGGUGGCUACUGGGUGACGCCUCGUCUGGGGAUCCUCAGCCCUUCCCAUGAGGGUGGCACGGAUGCCCCUCCGGUGGUCCUCCUUGGGCUCUCGCACUCUGGGGCCUCUGGAUGUCUGGGGCCUGGAUCUCCUCCAUGCCUGCUUCAUGCCCUGGGGGACGGGGCUAUGGCUCUCUACAUCCUCUUGCAGACCAUUACAUGUGGAAACCAUUUGCUUUGGGUUUUUUUUUGCUUGUUUUCUAUUCUUUUUCUCUCAACAGGUGAUCCAGGAGAUUUUUUUUCUCCCCCCCUUUCUCACUGUCCCUCUCCCCUUCUGUUUUUCUUUUCCUUCCUCUUUCUUUCUCCCUUUCCUCACUUUCCUCACUCAUGUCUGUCCCGUCUGUAACAUCUGAAAAUAAAAUAAAAUAAAUAAUAAAAACAAAGGUCGAUCAAAUGGACCAAUACGGCAAUGCCACGAUGAUCCAUUUGGCAAAAUAAAUCCAUUGGGUAUCCUUGUUGGUCUUCAGACAACAAUUCUGAUGGCUAAAGAACCAAAUGGGACAGGCAAAAGAAAAAAAAAAUCACAAAGAGCUUCAUAAUAAAACCAGAAAUAUAAAGUAAUAAUAGUUGAAAACAAGUUGAAAGUUGAAAACAUAAAACACAUUACUUUAAUCUUACUUUACUUGAUCAACAGCAACCCACAAAACUAUUUAGUAGAGGAUAAGGAAAACAUGUUCUAUCCGUCAAUUUUUUCCCCAUUAUUCCAGUUCAGGUUUGCAGCAGGGCCUGGAGACUUUCCCAACUGUCACUCACUUUGUCAAGACAAAAUUCUGACUUAUUCUAACCCCACUACAUCCAUAUUGCACACUUUAAAAAACAGAGCAUCCAAUAUUGCUGCAGUCAGGGCAUAAAAGCUCAGAUUUCAAAAGAAAAUGUGUUUUCAUUAUUGUAACGGUAACGGCUUCUGACAGAACGGCA
ensembl:lncRNA